rnacentral:tRNA from 1 species
GCCGAGGUGGCGGAAUUUGGCAGACGCGCUGGGUUUAGGACCCAGUGGCCGUAAGGCCUUGCAGGUUCAACUCCUGUCCUCGGCA